AGAUGGGGUGGGGCAGAACAAAGAUGCAAAAGUCUGGCAAGUUUAUACUUAACAAGCUUAGUUGAGUAACUCAUUUAUGAGUCUCAUAACCUUUUAGACUUGAAGAAAUAAGAGAGGGGAGGAUAAGAAUAGACAGUUUCAUCAUCAUGCACUCAUUCCUUUUUAUGGAUAAGACAAGGUCACUGCUGGAUUUCCAGCACAGGUGCCUAUACUUGGAUCUUCCAUCCCAAGUGCAAAAGGCAGUAUUAGUCGGUAUAAAAUUGAUACAAGAAAAUUUAUUUCUAGAUCUCCUGAAUGCAUGGCAGAAUUGAAAACCACAUAGUCAAUUUACAGAGGAUCCAGUCUGGUUAAGGAACUUGGGAGAAUUUUAAGACUAUCCUUUUUCCACGAUUUUUUAUAGCACAUAUUGAUUAUACAGUAGAGUGGUUUUUAUUGUGACCCUUUCAUACACGUGUAUAACAAACUUUAACAAUAUCCUUUCCCUGUUACCUUCCUUUACCCUCUCCUUCCCUCUCUCCCAUCCCUUUCAUCUUUUUAAAUUGUCUACCUUCUACUUUCAUGUCAUCUUUUUUGGUCUAGAUUCCACAUGUAAGAGAAAACGUGAGACCCGUCUUUCCGAAUCUGGCUUAACAUAAUGAUCUUCACUUCCAUCCAUUUUACUGCAGAUGACAUGAUUUCAUUUUCCUUUAUGGCUGAAUAAUACUCUAUUGUAUGCCCUCUGUCCCUUAGGAUUAUGAAGGUUGAAGGAUUAUGAAGGCUUCUUCUGGAUCCCAACAGUGGUGCAACCAUAAUUGGUGCCUGAGGCUAAAAAUGUGGCCUUCAUAAGAUGUUCAGACUUAAUAAAAUGUUUUAUUUUUCA